CCGAGACCCAGAGUCUUCUAUAAAUACCAUUUUGGCCCAGAAUAUUCUGGGGGUUCUCUGGGAGUUUGAAAAUAGCCCACUGGUUACUAUCUAUACUCGGAGGGCCCACUCCUGGCCUCCACUGGGUGGCUAAGUAUAGCUCCCUGGCAAAGUUCAGUGGAACAAAAGUUUCCAAUCUCCAUCACCUUGUGCACGAGGAGCCCUGUGGGGAGGGCGCCCGGCUGCUGAGGCUCAGGGGCACGUGGGAGAGGCUGGAGCUGACAGGGGUCUGCCCGGGGUCCUGCAGGCAAACGCAGAGACCUUGCCCGAUCUGGACGGAGGCCUCUGGCCCCAGCCCGCAGCUCUGCUGGGCAGGAUCCACCACAAAGCCCUGAUUUCUGCUCUGGCCUCUGUUCUAGGAUUCAGGAGGGACCUGGGAGGCUGAACAGCAGCAGAAAUAAGAUGUAACUGCCAACUCUAGGGAGACCUGUAACCUUUAACCCCCUGGACGCUAUGUCCGACCGCCAAGUGCACCUCUCCUCCCAGCUGCCCCCGCCCAACCCGCUGAGCUGCCCGAGAGCUGGCAUGGCCGGCAGAGCGCUGGGGAGGGCAGAAGGGGCGGAGCAGAGCUGGGCAUGCUCACCUACGGCACAGCUGAGCUCGCAGGGACGGCGCAGCCAAGACUCGGCACGUUUCCAAAGAGCCACUUGAUCCAAAAGCGGUCACAGCAUGUCCCUCCCACACAGCGGUCCCCUUCCCACGCACCCACCAAAGCCCCACGUGGAGCAGUGGCAGCAGGGCCGGGCACCGGCACCGCAGGGCCACGCUGAGGAGGCUCGCGAAGACGCAGCACAGUCCUCACCAAAACGGUUCCAGGAAACAGCCAUUGUCACAAGACGCUAACGUGGGAUGGGCUCGUUACAGCCUUUAAGUCUUGCAUCGCCCGUCCUCAGACACGAUCCCGAGCUGCGCUGGACGCAGCUCACCUCAGUUCCAAAAAUGAAGGCAGAUACUUUCGCAGAAGCGGUCGGCAAAGACGGCGCCUCUGACGCCCAGAGCCAGCCACCCUCAGACAACAGCGAGGACCCGGCUCCCGCCCUCCCUGGGCCCUCAGUUCAAACCAGCCACCCACCUGGGCCUCAGACACAAGGUCCGCAUCGUCCGGCCACAGCCCCUGCACGUCCAUCAGCGUCCGUGCUGGACGAGCACCAGUGACACUGUCGCCCCGAGCAACGGGCCAGACGCUUCUGCCCCUUCCUAGUCCAAUGACCCCUCCCUAGGAACCGCUGACCUGCCUUCUGCCACUAUGCAUCAGGCGGCAUCUCCCAGAAUUCUUACGAGUGGAAUCCGCCAGGACCUCUUUCCCUCCGUCUCUUGCCCUGGGCCCUCAACGUGCCCCACGCUCUGUUCCCAUCUCACUCCUCCGGGCCUCAGACUCUGCUCACUGCCUUCUGCUGUGGGUCCCCAUCUUCCGCACAGACCACCACAGUCCACAGACAGCAUGUCACAACAGAUGACCAGCGCUCCAGACCGUCAGCUCUGCAGAUGAUCACUGACGCAGACUGAGUCUGCACAUGGCCGACACCACGAGCUUCCCUAACCGACAACUGGUGAGACUACACACGACCGCCGACAGUGCCGCCGUCCACCCCAGCCCACGCCACAGCAGAGGGCAAGGUCACAGACCACCACGGUGGCCUGUCGGAGGUCCCCCCACGUGCAGACAGUCCUUGUUCCAACUCGUCCUCGUCACUGAUGACCUCUGCUCUCCAGACACAGUGACAUCGUGUCAUUCUCCAAACAGCCCCCAUGCUGGGGGGACCUCAGCCCUUGUCAGCAUCUUCAGACAACUUGCUACUGUCAGCUGUGCAUUCUGCGCGCUCCCUGCUGUGCUGCAGUUCCAGCUCCACAAGGAGUUUGCCCCGACACAGUGCCUGCUGGAGGGGUUCCCAAAAAAGGUCUGGGAAUGGGCAGAGCGGCACACACAACUUCAGCACAAUUUAGGACUCAGAAGGCUCCAGAACCUUCCACUGGGUGAUUACAGAGAGUGACUUGGCUCCUCCCUGAAGAGGGAGCCAGGGGAAGGGACCCUGAAGGCUGAAAGGACGCAGACCAAGUUGACCUCCCCCAGAGCCCCGUUUCCCCACACAUCUAUCUCUCCACUCCUGCUACCAACCCCGCUACCCUCCCCUCCUCACUCUCCCAGACGCUCGCAGGUCCUCUGCAGCUGUGUCGCCUCGAUGCCAAAUCCAUCCUGUGAGGAAGUCGGCGUGAGAAGGGCGACGCUCGGAUGCGUGCAGGGCUGGGCAGGGACAAGGCCACAGGCAACAGGCCCAUCCAUCUCCGUGCCCCGCGAGUGGAUGCCAGGGGAGGAUGCCCUGGGGACGGGGGGUGGCUGGUCCGAGUUCUCCAAAUGAGGGUCAGGGGCUGGGGCUUCAUUUUCUGGUGCUCCAAGUGACCACAUGAACCUGUAUUCUUUUACGUUCAUUAAGCAUUUCUUAAUUAAAAGGAAGACUUUUGCAAAAAAAACUAUCGCCCUGGAGAAGAAGAGGUCAAGAAGAAAUUGGGAGGGGGGCGCCCCUUGCAGCUACGCCUGGGACGUGGUCCAGCCCAAGUGGGGACUGGACUGUCCUCCCUGCGGACACAGCCAGCCCUCAGCUUGGGGCCACUCCACCCAGAUCCAGUCUCUCUAGAUGGGGAUGACUGGGCAGCCUGGGCAGUUCCUGGGUCCUGAGAGGCCAAGCAAGGUGAUGCAAAGCUGGGCUCAGGAUGUGACUUGGGACCAUUAUGUUUCAGAGCAGGGUCUACAAGCCAGGGCCCAGACCUAGCCCUGCACCCCUGUGUUUGGGCAGCUCAAGAGCUGAGAGUGAUUGUCUGGUAAGAAAACCAAACUGCAUGGCAGUGUUAUCCACAGUGGUCAAAAGGCAGAAGCAACCCAGUGUCCACUGAUGGAUGAAACGUGGUCCAUCCAUGGAACGGAACAUCACUCAGCCGCAGAAGUCCUGACGCACUGAGUGGACGAACCACGAGGACGUGAUGCUCGGGGAGAUGCCAGACACAGACAGACAAAUCCUGCGAUUCCACUUAUAUGGGGACCUGGAGGAGUCAGGUUCACAGACACAGGGAGCAGACGGCGGGGGCGGGGCUGGGGGCGUCUGUGCUCAGUGGGGACAGAGUCUCAGUGUAAGAAGAUGAGAAGGUUCCAGAGGCUUGGUGGUGAAGGCGGCACGACACCCGGAACGCUGUUACAGAUGCUUCCCCUCUG